rnacentral:misc_RNA from 1 species
GGAAGGAUCAUUAUCAUAUUAUUUCCAAAUUUAAAACCACUUGGUAUUCAAUGUGAUUUAGUUCAUAUUCUUUACCAAGUUGGCACACCAUGUGAACUUUAUAAAGUCCAUAACCCCAUUUUUUUAAACACCAUUUGUUUUAAUCUGUUUGUAGUGUUUGUAAACUCUUCUUCCACCUAUCUUUCUCUCAUACGUGAGGAAAAGGUAGAUGGAUCAAGAAACACAAAUGAAAAAUCUAUAUACAAUCUUUAACGAUGGAUAUCUCGGCUCGUGUAACGAUGAAGAGCGCAGCAAAGUGCGAUAACUAGUGUGAAUUGCAGAAUUCUGUGAAUCAUCGAACUCUUGAACGCAUCCUGCGCCUGAGGGCUAUCCCUCAGGCACACUUGUUUGAGUGUCGACUCAUUCUCUAUUCUUCAAACUUCUCUUCCCUUUAACUUUUAGAGGGAUUACUAGUUCUGAAGAGACUUGACAGUGUUGAAUGCAAAUUCUUCUCUGUUUAAAUGUAUGGGCUGGUCACUUCUAUUUCAUAGUCAGUGAUUUAAACUUCUAGGUUCAGGGGUCUUUUUUGACUCAAGUCCUAGAGGCACUUUCUACUUGAAAUAAGUGAUUUCAGAACAAAAAAGGAAAAUAGAUGACUAACAAUCAUCAAAUAAAACAAAUUCGACCUCAAAUCAAGUGGGACUACCCCCUGAAUUUAAGCAUAUAAUUAAGGGGAGGAAAAGAAAGUAACCACGAUUCCCUCAGUAAAGGCGAUUGAACAGGGAAGAGCUCAAUCCGAAUCUGGCUGGUCUCCAGCCUGAAUUGUAGUUUUGUGAGUACUUAUAGGGGAAGGUCUUGGUUUAAGUUGCCUGGAAAGGUACGCCAUAGAGGGUGACAGCCCCGUUUACAACCGAGAAUCCUUUUCCAUACGUAAGUGCUUCGUAGAGUCGGACUAUUUGAUAGUAUAGUCCUAAGCGUGAGGUAAGUUCCUCAUAAAGCUAAAUACUGACGCGAGACCGAUAGCGAACAAGUACCGUGAGGGAAAGAUGCAAAGAACUUUGAAAAGAGAGUUAAAAGUACUUGAAAUCGUUAGAGAGGAAGCGGUUGGAACCAGUGAUUGUUUGAGGUUGAUUCGCGAUCGGAAGGUGCAUCCGCCGUGCAGUAAGAGUUUCCAAUUGGGGACCUUUCUGUAUGGAAGAUGAAACUGCCGGUUGUUACUUUGAUCUCGACGGAUCAGUAUCUAUGGGCUUCGGAAUGGAAUGGGUUGGAGGAGGUAGCUUGGGGUUCUCUCCGAGUGUUUAACUCUGAUCAGAUGUUCUGAAGAUCCUAUAGAGGUCACAAAGUGGGGCUUGCGGGGUAGGUGGAUCCCUGAUGGGAUAUAGUAUGGGAGACUGUCUAACAGUGUCUUGUAUUAUAUUCUGUUAUCGGGUUCAUCCCACGUACCACUUGAUGAUACUGGUGAAAUGGUUCCUACCGACCCGUCUUGAAACACGGACCAAGGAGUCUAACAUAUGUGCGAGUCACUGAGUGGUAAACUUAGGGGCGUAAUGAAAGUGAAUUGAGGUGCCAUUCUUGGGUCUAGGCCCCGGAAGCAGCAUCGACCGAUCCAAUUUCCCUCCGUGGAAAUAGAUUUGAGUAAGAGCAUAUCUGUUGGGACCCGAAAGAUGGUGAACUAUGCCUGCAUAGGGUGAGGCCAGAAGAAAUUCUGGUGGAGGCUCGUAGCGAUACUGACGUGCAAAUCGUUCGUCAAAUGUGGGUAUAGCGGCGAAAGACUAAUCGAACCGUCUAGUAGCUGGUUUCCUC